GGGCCGGUGCAAAAUGGGGCGGGGCAAGCACUUUUUUUGUGGAAAUAUUUGGAUGGGCGAGAACUUUUUUUAAAAUAUUUAGUGGAUGGGCCAGAACAUAUUUUAUAGGAAAAUUUUUUAUCCAUUUUAUCGGUGUGUAAGAAAUUUCUUUUGCGGGCACUCAAAAACUGGUAGCUUGGUUCAUUUCUGUCAACUUUAAGGAUUUAAUUAAGGAUUAAACCAGAUGCUACGCAGGGCGCAGCUUUAUACGACCGCAGAGGUUGAACCCUGAACGGUUGGGGCAAGUAUGGACACAACAUUCAAGCUGGAUUCAGCUCUAAAUUUGGAUUGCGAUUAAAUAGUUGACUCAGCAUAGGUUUCUGACACAGAAUGAAUGUGGUCUAAUGAACUUAAAAUACUUUUUUUUCCUUUGAGCAAUUCACUAUGCUGUUGAAUAUUAAUCCUCUCAAAAAAAU
rnacentral:lncRNA from 1 species